rnacentral:lncRNA from 1 species
UUCAUAAUGAUAUCAUAAAAUUAUUAGACAAUAGUGACAAUCACUAAAAUGAUAUUCUUAGAAUUGAAAAUAGGUUCAACGAUUCCUAAAAUCAGGAUUAGAAUAUAACUUCCAUCUCCAAUGUUCAGGAACUUCUUACUGUUUUUAAACUUUCCACUAUCCUAAAGUUAUUACAAUAAUUUGCAUAGACUUCUGAUAUCCAAUACCC